CUAAAUGAUGAUAACUUGAUAUGUUGCUCGAAGGAUUUAUUUUCGAUGUGGGCACAAUGAUUUCUCAAGACUACAACGGUAUCUGAUU
rnacentral:snoRNA from 1 species